rfam:Stegodyphus mimosarum contig127306, whole genome shotgun sequence.
GCUUUCGUGGUGUAGUGGUCAGCACGCUCGGCGUCUAUUCGAGAGGUCCGUGGUUCGAGUCCAGGCGAGGGCA